UGAUUUUUAUCAUCUUUAAAUUGAUUUUGUCUUUGUUUAAAAAUUUAAUUAUUUUUUUUUGAUUUAGGACUUUAAAUCUACUAAACUGCUUAUUAAUUUUUACUUUAUUUAAAAUAUAUAUAAUUUAGGAUUUUCAAAUCAACUAAUACUUGACGAACCAAAGCUUUUGAUAAGAUGGCUCCACCGUCCCCUUCAAUCCUCAAUCUGCAAGAGUUGAAGUAGAAUUAUGUUGAAGUUUAACGGUAAGUUUUUUCUUGAUAUGAAUUGACUUAUGAUUAAUUCAUAUUUCAUGAUUAUUUUUUUCGUAGAUUUGAUUCAUAUAUAUAUAUAUAUAUAUAUAAAUUUUAAUUAUUUUAUUUGUUUAUCGUUUGGAUAGAGGUUUUUGAAUAGAGUUGAAGCAGAAUUGUGUUGAAGUUUAAUGGAAAGUUUUUUCUUCAUGUGAGUUGACUUGUGAUUAAUUCAUAUUCGAUGAUUAUUUUCUUA